GACUAUAGGCACGCACCACCGCGCCGGGCUCUUUCUGGCUUUUUCUACUAAAGUUCUGGCCUUUGAGGAUCUGCUUAUUGCUCAGUGUGGGACCGCUUCCCUCACCUGAAGCGCAGGGUGGGGCCAGAAGGGUUUUCUAAGGAAUGUCCUGCCUAUUGACUUUCCUGUUGCCAUAGAGAUGGCCUGUGCAAACAGGAGCCCUCACUUUGCAUCUGCUGCUCCCCGGCCUGUUAGCAAACAGUUUCCAGCUGCCCGGGUCAGCUGUGCACCGUGCCCACAUCCGCGCCGGCUAGACCCACGCAGUCCCAGGCUUCAGCGCCUGCGGGCGGUAACACCCCCCACAACCCUCAGGCACUGGGAGUGGGUGGGGCUUUUCAGUGUGAACUCUUUUCUUCCUCACUUUACAGUCAUCCAACCAGCCACUCAGAAGGAAUGAGGGUGAGAAAGGAGGAGCCUCUUGGUCACAGGAGGAACAUGAAAUGUUAUUUUUAGAGGAAAUGUCAGAGGGGAAAGAUUUUCCCAGAGGCUAAAGAAUGAAAGUUCCCUUUGCAGACAGCCAAUGACUAUCACUUCGUGAGGACUUAGCAUGUGCCAAGGGCACCCAGCCCUUUGCAUUCAUUACCCCACUUGAUCCUCACACCAUACCCCAUAUGAUGGGUCCUACUUUUCCUCAGAGAGGUUGAGUAACCUGCUCAAGGUCACACAGCAGGUGUGUGUCAGAGUCAGCUCAUUUAUAUCCAGGCCUAUAUACUUGACUUUUAUGUUAUACCAAAAGUCUCUGAAUACCUAUGGGAAACAAAAUGUUGGUAGAAUGAUCAGUUAUCUCUGCUGAAAUAGAAGUGGUUUUUCUUCCUAAUUAUGAGAAAAAAAAAACAUUUUAAAUUCUCAUAUCAGUGUAUUGCUACCUUUCCUAAGCUCCACCCUGGGUAAAAAUUUUAAGCAUUUUUAUGCUAUUGAAUAGUAAGUCACUUAUGACGAUAUUCAGCAAUGGACAAGAUAUAUGAAGAGACUAUAUUGCAUGUCAUUUACUCUUCGCAGUGACCUCGAGAAAUAGAGUAGAUUUGAGCCUCAGAGGGGCUGAGGCUGGGACCCCAAUCUGUUGUCAUCCUGGCCCUCCCCUUGAGUUUCUAAAAGUGCCAUCCUCAAGAACCUGUACAUGUAAAAAUGAAAUAUACUGACAAGUUUUCAGACUGUGUGUGUGUGUGUGUGUGUGUGCAUGUGUGCACACACAUGCCCAGGAGAAAAAAGAGGUACCGCGUAGGACUUUUGCAUUCGCUUUUCCCUUUGCGUGGAAUGCUCCUUCCCUCAAACUGCAAUAGAUGUAAAAUCUUGUCACUGGGCCUCACCAUCUCUCAUCAUCCAACCUAGAGCAGCCCCUCCCUGUCACUCUCCAUCUUAUGACCCUGUUUUAUUUCCUUCAAAGCCCUUCUUAUUAGGGAGCUCAUAGGAGCAUAAGAAUAGGAAAGGAGUCUAUGUGAGCAUAUAAAUGUUAGAAUUGUGUUUUAGACAAGUACUCAGGGUAUGUGCUGGUCCACACACCUGCUAUAUGUAGCUCAGCAUUCUCCACCAUCUGAAACGUUCUUAUCUAUUUACUUAUUCAUUUGUUCUCUAUCUACUGGAUAGUAAGCUUCAUGUCACUCUUGUUCAACGCCGUGACACCAGCACUUAGCACAGCGCCUGGCAUACAGUAGGCUCUAAAUAAAUGUUUGUUGGAUGAAUGAGUGAACAAGUGAGUUUAUGAUGCUCCUACAUGGAUGACAUUGACCAUUUACAAAGCACCUUGCAGCUGUCAUGUCAGCUCACUGGUAAUGGGCCAUCGAUAUGGAAUCUGUCCACCUUGGCUCUCUGGAACAGCUCUCCAGUUCCAACUUGGGUUUAAGCCUCAAAGGGGUCAGGAUACAAAGGGGUCAGAACACCGGAGAAACAAACCCCUCCCACAAAGUUCAUGUCCCUUUGUAGCGAGAUGUGGAACUCAAGACAGAGCUCACAGGAAGGCAGCAGAGCAUGGUAGUUGAAAGCUGGGAUUCUGGAGUCAGGCAGAAGCUGAUUAGAGACCCAGCUCUACUAAUGUGUGGCCUGAGCAAGUUACUUACCCUUUCCAGGCCUCAAAAUUCUCAUCGUUAAAUUGACUAUAGUUUGGAAGUUUCGUUAUGUUAGGGGACCAGAUUUACCCUCCGCCUGACACAACUAAAACAAAAUACAUGCAACAGUCGUUUUCAGAUGUUGGACUUUGCUGGCACAGAACAGUGAUCUCUAAGAGAUGGGAGAUCAAUGAGGUGAGCCCUGUGAGUGCCCAGCUUAAUGCCUAAGGGAUUUGUUUCCAGGCUGCAAUGCAAGGAAAGGGAACCCAGGCAGAUCCUUGUUGUAUCCCAGAGUUAGAGAGAUGCAGGUGGGAGUCUAGAGAUGCCAAGGUUACUGGUGGUCCAAGAGGAGACACACACACUCACACACACACACACACACACACACACACACUCACAGAGAGAGAGAGGGAGAGAGAGAAGACUAGAGAAGAGAGGAGAGAUAGAGCACUUCAGAGACUUGUAGAAAGUUCCCUUGAAUCUUCAGCUGAGUACUGAGUGAGGAAACUACCUGAGGCAGGGCUGAGAAGAGCUUAUGUUCGUACCAACAAAGGAAAACACCUUGUAAUUCAUAGGGAAGUAUUUGGCCUCCAUAUUGUAGAGAGAAAACAGUCAGUAGAAACUGACCCAGAAAUGGCACACGAUCAUUAGGAGACAUGGACAGUGAAACAAGUAUUAUGGUUCUUU